rnacentral:lncRNA from 1 species
AAGAUAGUGUUGUCAUUGCUUCUGCAGAAUUUCUCGUUCGAGCUUUCUCCUGUCUAUGUACAUGCUCCUGCACUUAUGCUUACUUUGCAGCCCAAACAGGGGGCGCCCCUUAUUGUGCGAAAGCUAUGAUACUUAAUCAUAUUUUGACCUAGAAGGUCAUGGUUUGUAGGUUGAUUCAAAGUAUGUAUCUUUUAAGAACUUGUUUGUAAUGCAUGUGUUUGAAUUGCGUCACGUGGUUUAGUGACAAAGUAUUAUUGGUUGAUGCAUAACGAAAAGAAACAAAUACUUUUGUUCUUAUAAAUUAUCCAAGACCGAAUGUCACUAUCAAGUUGUUUCUGUCUUCUCUUCAUUCCGAACAAUCUUUUAGAAUUAUGAGAGGGCGGGGUACCUGUAAAGAUACUCUUACGUUCAACAUAGACGAGUUCUAUAAGGAAAGCCAAAUGCAAGGUUCAGAGUAAUGCUACCUUUUACCAUGGAGGUCCCCUCUUAUUUAUAUUGCUUUGGUGGGCCUUAAUUUGUUAGAGCGGUUAAAUCGGACCCAAUAAGAGAUAAUCUUGCUUUGCUACCUCCUAAUUGAAAUUAGCACCCUUAUCCUGUGAUUUGACGUGGAUGCUGGUUUGUGCCAAAAGGCCAUUAGGACGUCUGAUUGGGCUACCAUUCGAAUUUCAGGUUCGUGGUAUAACACUUGCUCCCAGGCUUGAGUCUUUGUGAGAAAAAGAAAAGUCGUGAAACGGGAUUCAGCCGCAUUGUCAAUCGUUAAGCGUUUAACCGUGGGGUAUGGCAUUUUGUUUAUGGUGGUGAUGACGCGACAUGUGAUUGACAUAUCGUGUCAGUUCCUUUCUCUCCUUUUAUGCUUUAUCUGGUCAUCUCCUCGGCCUACUUAAGGUAACCAGCCAUGUCUUCUUCUACAUCUGAUAGCUCUACCCUAAGAGCAAGGUUAUCAAACUUGCGGGUUGACUCUUAAACUCGUUCGAGUUUAAGAGUCUAGUGGUGACUCACGAGUUAACUCGUGAGUAGACUCGUUUUUUGCAAACUCGGAGUGGACUCAAGCAGACUUGCUGAACUCGGUGCAAACUCGCGAGUUGGAGCCCAAGUCAACGAGUUCACCUUGCCUCGUGUUUUCGAAGUCUCAAAUCUCCACGCCUCGCCUCCACUGUGCUUCGCCUUACCUUCAUCGUGUCUCGCCUCGCCGCACUUCCUUGCGCUUCUUCGCUCCUCGUUGCAGCCCCGUUCAGGUCUGCGAUUAGGUUGGGUUGUGCUAUUGCAGUGCAUGGCUGUGGAUUUGAGGGGUUGGGAAAUUUUAAUUUUAGGGUUUGUUUAUAGGGGAAGAUUGGGGGUGUGCAGCUGUGGGUUGAGAAGUUGGAAAAUAUUAACUUUAGGUUUGUUGAUAGGGGCAAAUUGGGAAUUAUCCUGAAAGUGAUUUUUAAAGUAUUGGGUCAGAUAUUUUUUGAAAUAAGAUUAGGAUAAAAUUAUUUUUUAUUAUUUUGAUUUUGGUUAGUACAAUGAAAAUGUGGAAUUACUGCUCAAAUGUGUAACAAGUGAAAUGUAAUUAUGCUUUAAAAACAUUUAAUAGAUAUAUUUAAUAUUAUAGAAUUGGUAUAUGAAUAUUUUUUUAUUGAAUUUUUACACAAAGUAGAUUCUUACGAGUCUAUUAGUCGGGUUUACGAGUCGAGUUUACCGACCUUCCAGGAGUCUACUUAGACUCUCGAGUUUGAUAACUUUUCCUAAAAGUGUCUAGAAUUGAUGGCACCAUUUUGUAGUGUGAGGUUGUUCAUCUCUUGGACACUGAUUCGACCAAUUCUGAGAGUUCUUCAGAGUCUUUUCAUGUCAGCGAUAAUGCUGUAGCGGGUGUGGCUGCCGAGGAUGUUCGUCCUUCGGCCGUCCCAAUCACCGAUGCUGCCAAACAAGGUGCCCUAUCUAUCCGGAAAAUCGAGUAUGAGUAGGUUGACAUCAACGUACGAAAGCAUAUUUCUCGAUUUGGCACAACCACCUCGUUGAAGUCCUUUAGCGCUAGUGUAGAUAUGUUGAAUUCGGAUGCCACGAAUGGGACUGUUUCCAUUCGAAGGUGUUCGUCUUUCGACGUUGUACCGUCACUUUUGAAGAGGGGAAAGCUCUUCUAUAAGGAGCUUCGAAGACAAAGACGGGAUGUUGUCGGCCAAGCUCUUCUUGCUCAAGUCGAAAUUGUGGAACCGUUGCGUUCGGUUCCGGCUAGAGAGACACUUCCACCUCUGACUCCGCUUAAGGUUGGGAGGAAAAAAGAACAUGAGAAAUCAUCCCGUCGCUAUUUUGAUAGGUCAUCAUCCGAGAGAUCCCAUAAGCGGUCACAUAUUGAGGCCGGUACUAGCUCGUCUCGGGACUUCCUUGGCCCGAAUCUCCAUUUUGGUGACAGGAUCUCAAUCUUGCCGGGCUCGGCAAACAAGGAGGAUGUGAAGUUGGCGACAUCUUCUAAAUUGGCCUAAUCAAUCUUGGAGUUGAGCGCUCGAGUUCUUGUUCUCGGCAAACGAAUGGGUAUCGCUCUCAAGGCUCAAUUGGCCGAGUCCACCUCCUCACUUUGUUAUUAUUAUGAGACAGAGGAAAUUAAAGGUUCUGAUAUAAACUAAUGUAUAUUAUUGUGUGUUGAUAAAGAAGCAAUUUAUACAUAGGGUAACACAUGGGUACCCUUAACAGCCCCCCCCUAAAUGCAUGGUUGGAUUAGCUAUAAUCAUGAGUUUAUCCCGUACAUGAAGAAACAAUAUGCCAGAAACAGGCUUGGUAAGUGGAUCAACAACUUGAAAGCGUGCAGGAAGAUGAAGAAGUUGAAUUUUCUGCUUCUAAACUUGAUCACGAACAAAGUGUAGGUCCGGUUCAAAGUAUUUCGUUUUAGAGUGCAUAACAGGAUUUGUAUUGAGCAGAACAACACCAAGAUUAUCAUAAUACAACUUUGUUUUUGAAACUUGAAUGCGCAGCUCAGAAAGAAGAGACUGAAUCCACACAAUUUCAGCAAGGAGAGCUGCAACUGCCCGAUAUUCUGCUUCCAUACUACUUAUGUAAACCGUUUUCUGUUUGUGGGAUGACCAUGAAAUAAGAUUAUAGCCCAUGAAAAUACAAUAGCCAGUGGUGGAUUUGCGGUCAUCGACGUCAGCACCCCAAUCUGCAUCUGCAAAGCCAAUAAGAGAGGUUGUCGAGUUGUGGCGAAGGAGCAAUCCAUGUGUAAUGGUGCCAGCUAAAUAACAAAGAAUUCUCUUUACAGCUUGCCAGUGGUGAAGUUUCGGAUCAGGCAUAAAUUGACAAACACGAUUAACAGAGUAAGAGAGUUCAGGCCUAGUUAUAAGAAGAUAUUGAAGUGUACCAACAACUGACCUAUACAGUGAAGGAUCAUUGAAUGAUUCAGAAGAAUUUUUUUGGAGACGCGAAGAGGAUGUCAUAGGCGCGGGUUGAGGUUUAGCAUGGAACAUAUUUGUUUUCUGUAACAGCUCACGUAUGUGUUGAACCAAGUGGUGUUCAUGUUUUGAAGAAUCCAAAUCCUUUGAAGGAUGUUGAAGUCUCUGCUAUGCUUGAUGUUGUUGUGCUGGUUUAAAGCUUUGUUCUGGGGCAGUUUAUAUGUUGUAAUCCACCCUGUGAUUAAAUCUAAAGCAUUAGCAUUCUCAAUCUUUGUGAAAGUAAAAUGUUUUCAAACUAAGUUAAAACAACCGAUUGUUUUGUCGAAACAACCGAUUGUUUAUACUUAGGUGUUUUGAGAAAAAGAUUGAAAACUGUUUUUAAUGGUUGAACUGUUAAAGUACCAAAACAACCGAUUGAUUCUAGGAAACAACCGAUUGAUUCGAGGAAACAACCGAUUGUUUGUUUUGGGACCAUAACAGAAAAAUUGUUUUCUCUUUGACUGAGCUUUAAAUGUUUUAACUACUUACGCUCUAGUCAUUAAAUGCUUUGACCAAUCUUUUAAUGCAAUUUAAGAGUUUAUUAAGAUUUGAUAACAAACUACAUCUUUGAAUAAUUUAAAAAAAAAAAAACAGAUUUGACAAUUAAGAAUUUCUGACAAAGUUUUUCCAAAUAGUUUUUUCAAAGUGCUGAGAUUGCUAAGAGUUUGUUAUUGGUCAAAGUGUUGGAAUAUGAUUCUGCUUGUAUUGAUUUCAGAUUAUCUUCUGUAACAAGUGUAAUCCUUGUACUCUAUUGAACAAUUCGGUUCUGUGUUUGCUGAGAUUGGCUGUGUGUUCUUGAGGUGUUCAAGAUCAGCAAUCUUAGUGUAGGCCAAGGAGAGUGUGUUUCUUGAGGUGUUCAAGGUCAUUCUCUUGGUUGUUGUGUAAGUGAUCAAGUGGUGAUUGCUUAGUGGAUUUCCUCAGGGUUUCUGAGAAGACUGGAUGUAGCUCUGGUUUGGAGUGAACCGGUAUAAACAACUGUGUACAAUCUCUUUAUCUCUAACUCUUUAAAUUCAGUUUAUUUGUUGUUUGCUGGUAUAAACAACCGAUUGUUUCUACGAAACAACCGAUUGUUUUUCUGGUACUACAGCUUUUGCUUGCUGUUUUGGCUAACUGAAUUGCUGAAUCAAUUGGUUCCUGAGAUAAAUUCAUGGAGAAGGUUGGAAAAAACAUGUUUAAACAAAUUCACCCCGCCCGCGCCUGUGGUUUAAAGCCAUGUUUUCUAACAAUUGGCAUCAAGAGCUUGGUUCUUGAAAGUUAUUCAAGUUGAUCCUAAAAUUCUUUUUAAAUGGCUGAUAGACUACCUUUUUGGGAAGGUGCUUCAAUUAACAUACCACCUUUGUUUUGUGGUUUGAACUACCAGUUUUGGAAAGUAAGAAUGAAAAUAUUUAUGGAAUCUCUUGACAAAGGAAUUUGGGAUGCAAUUGAAAAUGGUCUUUUUAUCCCAAAGUUUGAAAAGGAUGGAUCUGUCAUUGAGAAGCCAUGGUCUCAAUGGACUGAUGUAGAAAGCAAAAAGGCCAAAUUCGAUUGCAUUGCCAAAAAUAUUAUAACCUCUGCUUUAAAUUCUGAUGAGUUUUUCAGGGUCUCGCAAUGCAAAUCAUCAAAAGAAAUGUGGGACACUUUGGAAGUCACUCAUGAAGGAACAAAUGAGGUGAAAAGAGCUAGAAAGCAUGCUCUCAUCCAAGAGUAUGAGAUGUUUAGAAUGCUUAAAGGAGAAACAAUUGCUGAGGUGCAGAAAAGGUUUACGCACAUCAUCAAUCACCUUAUGAGCCUAGACAAGACCUUUGAUAAAGAAGAGCUGAACAUCAAGAUCUUGAAAUGUCUUGAUAGAGCAUGACAACCAAAGGUAACUGCUAUUUCCGAAUCUAAAGAUCUAACAUCAUUAAGUGUUGCUUCUUUGUUUGGAAAGCUUAGGGAACAUGAGUUAAAGAUGAAUAGACUCAACGUUCAAGAGAGUGAAGAUAAGCACACAAGGAGCAUAGCCUUGAAAGCAUCCAAACACAAGGGAAAUCAAGAUUCUAGUGAUGAUAGUGAUGAGGAAAACCUUAGCUUGCUAUCAAGAAAAUUCAGCAAAUUCCUAAAGAGAAACCGCAACAAAGACAACAACAAGGAUAGGUAUGGAAACAAGAAACCCAAUGAAUUCAAUUCAAAUAACUAUACUUGUUUUGGUUGUGGUCAGCAAGGUCAUAUAAAGGCAGAUUGUCCUAACAAGAGCAAAGAGAUAAAGACUAGUUACAAGGAAAAGAAAGGCAAGACAAAAAGAGCCUACAUAGCUUGGGAUGAAAAUGAGGUGUCAUCAUCAGGUUCUUCAUCAAGUGAAGAUGAAAAAGCAAACAUAUGUUUGGUAGCUGAAAAUGAUGAUGAAUCUUGCAGCUCAAGUGAGGUAAGUUCACGUGCUUCCUUAAAUGAACAAAAUUAUAGUGAAUUACUUGAAGUUUUUCAAGAAACACAUGAUGAAGCUAAUAGAUUGGUUCUUUCAACAACCGAUUGAAAGAUCUUAACAGUUGGCUUGAAAAGAAAGUUAAAUCACCUGAAGAGGAUCUGGAAAAAGCAAAAAGUGAUUUUGAAAAAUUGGAAAAUCAUUUCAAAAAUGCCUCUUACAAGUGUGAUACUCUCAUUUGCACAAAUUGUGAAAAUCUUGAGAAAAAGGUUCACUAUCUUAUUGAAACUGUGGACAAACUUUCAAAGGGGAAAUCAAACUUUGAGAAUGUCUUGGCAUCUCAAAGCUGUGUUUUUGGAAAGGCUGGUUUAGGCUUUAAUCCACAGAACAAGCAAGAUAGGUUUUCAAAUUUUUUUUCAAGAAAAUUAGAAAAACAACCGAUUGUUAAGACGAAACAACCGGUUGUUACAUGCUUUUACUACAUGAAGAAAGGUCACUCUGUUAGGUUCUGUAAAAUUAGAAAAUAUUCUGCUCCAAGAGGUUUUAUGAAAUGGAUUCCUAAGGGAUGUGAUGUUUCUAACUGCAAAGAAAAGUCAAACGGACCCAAAUUUGUAAGGGGACCAAAUCUUGCUACUUGAAAUUGUUUAUGCAGGAAAAAUAAAGAGAAAAAGAAGAACUGAGUCAUCUGAUCAAGUUGUUGAAGAAAAAGGCAGUCAUUGAAGUUGAAUCAAUACUAUGCAAAAGACCUCAACAGUGAAAAGAAGCUUCUUGAUCAAAAAGCACAUGGCUCAUUGAAUAAUCAACAUAAGGAUAAGACUUUCCUUUAUUUCUUCUCAAUUUCUGUUUCAAAGUUCUUUCUUAUGGUUAAACAAUUAUUUUUUAAUCAAUGUCAUCUGCUUUAAACUGCUUCUGCUCAUGGUUAAAAUUCAAAAUCAAGUUUUUAACUGCUGCAGAAAAACUACCAAUUGUUUCUUCGAAACAACCGAUUGUUUUGAGUCUGACAACACUAUGAAGAAAUUGUUUUAAUUGCUAUUUUGAAUUUCUAUCCCUUGCAGAUCAAUUUAAAAGAGAGACUCUUGGUCAAAGGAUCUAUGUUGAAAGCUGAUUAUGUUCAGAAAGAAGUUACAACAGUUAUAAAGGAAUAUAUUCCAAAAUCUUGGAAAUUCAAGAGCCUUAAUGACUAGUCAAAGAUCACAUGUGAAGACCAUGUGAUUUUUCAGCUUUUUCUGACAUUUUCUGUGCAGAGUAGAGUCAAGUCCUCACUCUUUGAAAACCAGGUACCAAUUAAUGAAAUUAAAUUCAUAUUGAUUCUCUUACUGCUAUAAAAUCUGGUGCAGAUUUCUUCCACAAGAACAACCAAUUGCAACAUCUCUUGCAAUAUCUCUUGCAACAUCUCUUGCAAAAAUCUGUGAAGUGUGCUCUCCUCUGUUUUCGUCUCUGCUGUCAUGGAAUCAACUCCUCCCACCUCAAAGAGAGUCAAAACCAGGGCUGUAAGGUCUGGAGGAAGGCUAGAAGGCUGGUUUUCUGGAGACAAUGAUCUCAUUGAGAAGUAUAGGUAUGAAACAAGUAUCAAGAAGAUAAACAACCCCAAGGUUGUAUGCUUUGAUUGGCUGAAAAGUCAAAAGCUUGAUAAUGUGAGAAGGUUGCUCAAGGAUCAAUCUCUCAGAAAGUUCCUGGAGAUGAAGGGAAACAUUUAUCCAGAUUUGGUGAGGGUGUUCUACACAAACUUGAAUUUUGAGGGAAACAAUCUAGUUUCUCAUGUGAAAGGUGUACAAAUGGAGAUAACUCAUGAAGUAUGGACUGCUGUUGCUGGACUUAAGUUCUCUGGUCUGAGAAUCAACAAGGGAAACCUUGGUUUGGUGGAGGAUUUUAACAAAAUCCAAUUCUACAAAAGUUGCUUGAAGAAUAAUCAUGCUCAAGUUAGUACAUGCUCGGUUGGAGGUUUGAAACUUGAUGAGAGAUUGCUUGCUCUCAUUGUAACUUGGAUUCUAACUCCAAGGGGGAGUAAUCAUUCUGUGCUAACUGAAGAAGAUCUGGUUUAUAUCUUCUGCAUCACCAAGAAAGUCAAGAUCAAUUGGAUUCAUAUAAUCAAAGAACACAUGCAAAAAGCCAUGAGGUUAGGUGAUUAUCAUUAUCCAUAUGCUGUUUUGAUAUCUAAAUUUCUACUCUAUUUUGAAGUUAAUCUUGAAGAUGAAACUUCUGAGCUGGUCAAGUCAACUCAAGAGUUGAACAAUGGAUCACUCAGCAAGAUGGGUUUUACAAAAGUAGGUGGAAAAUGGAUAAGCAAGGAUGGUGAUCAUGGUGCCUCAUCUAGUGGUGCUGCUAAUCUUGAACAAGAUGAACCUGCUGAUAUGGAUGUUCAACAUGAAGAUCCACCUGAAGAUUUUCAAGAUGUUGGACCAAGUGCUGGUGAUGGACAUCAAGGAGAAAGGAUGCAAACCAUGUCGCCUUUUGAAAGACUCAUGGUGAAUAGGUUUGAUAGCUUUGCUGAAAAUCAAAGGAGCCUCCAUGAUCUCUGUGUUAGUAAUUUCCAAAGGAUUGACACCAGGUUUGACAAUAUGGAUGCAAGGUUUAUGACUCUGGAUGAACAGAUUGAAGUUGUUCAGAAUUAAAUCUUUGAUCUUCAGUUUGCUGAUGAAGAAGAAUGAAGGAAAAACAACCGAUUGUUUUUCUGGUACUAUAACUUUUGCUUGCUGUUUUGGCUAACUGAAUUGCUGAAUCAAUUGGUUCCUUAGAUAAAUUCAUUCUAGUUUUGAAAAGUUUGCGAAAACCCUCUUUAAACAAUUCACCCACCCUCUAGUUUAAAGCCAUCUUUUCUAACAGUAUGUAUUGGUCCUGAGAGAGAUGCAUGCCACCAGUAGAUGUUCGAGACACUUGAAUUCCUAAAAAAUGAUGAAGACUACCUAAAUCUUUUAAUGCAAAAGAACUCAAAGUGACAAUGAGGUUAGUAAUUCCAGUAGGUGAAGAUGCAGUGAUGAUUAUAUCAUCAACAUAAACCAGCACAAACAUAGUAUAAGACGAAGUAAAUUUAGUAAACACAGAGGUAUCACUUACUGUAGGACAAAAACCAAUAUCACAUAAAGUUGUGCUAUGUUUAGAAAAGCAGGAACUGGGUGCUUGCUUGAGGCCAUAGAUUGCCUUGUGUAAUUGACAUACAAGAGUGGGAUCAUGGGAGAUAAAACCAGGUGGUUGCUGCAUAUACACACGUUCAUUGAGAUCACCAUGGAGGAAAGCAUUAUCAAUGUCCACUUGACGAAUAGGCCAGUUAUUUGUAACAACAUGCGAAAGAACAAUGCGAAUCGUAGUGGGUUUGACUACAAGACUGAAGGUCUCACUAUAGUCAAGCCCCUCAGUUUGAUUGAAGCCUUUGGCAACAAGGCGUGCCUUGCAACGUUGAAAAGAGCCAUUUGCAUGCAAUUUGGUUUUAAAAAUUCAUUUACAACCUACCAGAGAGGCAUUGGAUGGGAGAGAAGUGAGAGUCCACGUAUUAUUUUUUAGGAGAGCUUGAUACUCAUCAGUCAUUGCUUGGGACCAUACGAGAGAAGCCAUAACUUCCUUGACAGAAGAAGGAGGAGAAGGAAUAGUAGAAACAACAGUAUAAAUUUUGGGUUUAAUGAUGCCUACCUUUGGCACGAGUGGUCAAGGGAUGAGUGUUAGUAGGAGCAGGAAUAGAAGGAAGACAUUCAAUAUUACUAGUUGCAGAAGCACCAAUGUCAGUAGUGGAAUUGCUAAUGUUACCAGUUGCAGAAGCACCAAUGUCAGUAGUAGAAUUGCUAUCAGAAACAACAUGCUCAUUAAAAGAAUUAGUAUUUGUAUGAAAAACAAUCAAAGUGGGUGAAAUAUCAAGUGGGUGCUUACGAGAAACAGUAGGCAUAGCAAAACUAUUUGAGUUCUCGUUAUAUGGAAAAGUAGUUUCAUCAAAACGAAGAUGAUGAGAAACAAUAGUCUUACCAGUGGGCAUGAGACAAAUAUAGCCUCCAUUAGUUGGACUGUAUCCAAGAAAGAGACAACACUGUGAUCUAAAAUCAAACUUAUGACUAUUAUAGGGGCGUAAAUUUGGAUAACAAGCACAACCAAACACUUUGAAAACAUUAUAAUCAGGUUUGCGUUUAAACAACCUAGCAUAAGGAUUAUCACCAUUCAAUACAGGGGUGGGAAGAGCAUUGAUAAUGUGGGUGGAAGUUAUGAAGGCUUUUGCCCAGAAACGACGAGGCAAAGAAAUAGUGGCAAGAAGCGUUAGGCCCAUAUCAACAAUAUGCAUGUGCUUUCGUUCAACAAAUCCAUUUUGUUCAUGGGUGUAGGGACAUGUAAGUCUAUGUUGAAUGCCAUCAUGUUCAAGAAAAGGUUAAAGGCAAAGAUAUUCUUUGGCAUUAUCAGUUUGAAUAGUGGAAAGUUUAGAAUUUGUUUGGUUUUCAGCAAAACUUUUGAAUUUUUUAAACACGGAGGAAACCUGAGAUUUAGUAUGAAGAACAUAUAUCCAUGUAUAUUUUGUGUAAGCAUCAAGAAAAGAGAUGUAAUACCUUGCACCAUUUGAAGCAGGUAUAGGAGCAGGGCCCCAUACAUCAACAAACACAAGUUCCAACGGACGAGAGUAAAUGGUAACAAAAGAAGUAAAAGGAAGUUGUUUACCAAGCAUACAAGCAGAGCAAAAUUUGAUAUCAGAAGAACAACAUAUAUUACAAUUCUGUAAAAUUUGUUUUAAUGUGUCAGAAUGACAGUGACCAAAGCGUUCAUGCCAGACAUUGACUGUGAGUUUAUUAUCUACAAAUGAAGUAUGAAAAACAGAGGACAUAUGAGGAGUGUGCAUGGUUGGAAAAGUGUAGAGACCAUCCUUAAGAAUGCUGCGAAGAAGAACUUUUUUCGUAGCCUGAUCAACAACACAACAAUGGUUAACAUGGAAUUGAAAAUACACAUGAUUGUCACGAGCAAACUGAGAAACACUAAGUAAGUUCUUAGUUAUCAGUAGAACAUGUAUUAUAUUGCGCAAUAGUAAACGAAAAGUUGCAGAUCUAGUAAUAGCAAUAAACAAACCUGAGCCAUUACCCAUUUUAAUAGUUUCCGUGCCUUAGUAAGGGUGCUUGGUUGAGUAGACAGUGGGAUCUUUCGUUACAUGAUGUGUAACACCACUCUCUGGGUACCAAAGCGGAUCCUCAUCAGUGGAAUGAAUGCCCAUAAGAGACGCAUUGUUGGGUUGAGUGUCUGAGAUCGAAAACUGAGAAAAAUUAGCACGAGGAGGUGGAUUGGGUUUGUGGUCAUACCAUUGCUAGCACUGAAGAGUAGCAUACCAUAUUUGCCACUAACUUGACACGUUGGUUUGGAAGAGGUCCAAGAACCACGGGUUUGAGAACGGGAGAUGCGAGAACCACAUGCAAAAUUUUGGGAGCGAGAAAACCCACGACCACCACGAUUGCUAUGGAACUUGAGAUUGACUUUUUCAUUUGUGGGAUUCGAAGGCGUCCAAGUUGUGAGAGCGACAGUUGCAGGAAAACUGAGAGGAUCGAGUUGAUGAUGGCAUUCAAGACGUUUUUCUUGUACCAGAAGCAGAGCUUCAAUCUCUGCAACUUUGUAAGGAUUAAAAUCAGGAGGAAGACCAUCAAGAAUGGUUUCGAUGUGAUCUUCAACGGAUAUAGGGGCACCAACUGCAGCCAGCGCAUCCACCGUGCGUUUGAUAUCCAAAACGUAUGCAGAGAUAGAACAAUCUUUCUUUAGAUUCUUUAAAAGGAGUUUCAAUUUCUUGAUCUGGGCUUGAAAAUUACGUGUUUAGCGUCUUCUAGAUCUGGGCUACAGAGGUAAGACCCACCAUUUGGGUUAAAAUCGGAGUGGUCAUGGACGCUAGAAGCCAUGCAACCGACAAAUUAUCUUAUUGCUUGUAAGAGAUGAAUGCAAGAUUGGGGCUGAGGGUGCCAUCGGCAGCAAAAAGACAGUGCAGAGGAACAUUAGUUCCGUCAAGAAACGAGGAAAGCAGCAACCCAUCAACAAUGGCCAGAACCUGUUGUUUCCAUAACAUAAAAUUUUUGUCAUCUAGUUUGAGCGGAAGAGGAGUAAUAAGGUGAUGUAGGGAGACGGAGGAGGAACUCUUGGUGGAGAGAACCUGGGUGGACGAAGAGGAUGAUGUAGAAGAAGGAGAAGGAGGAUGAGUGAAAGCCAUGAAAGAAAAAUGAAAAGGAACUUUCUAGCUCAUGAUACCAUGUUAUUAUGAUGAGAAAGGAUAGGAAAGGUUCUGAUAUAAACUGAUGUCUGUUACUGUGUGUUGAUAAAGAAGCAAUUUAUACAUAGGGUAACACAUGGGUACCCUUAACACACUUCAAUAUGCAGUCGACACAAACAUUUCCUUGAUCACUCAAAACAAAGACUUGGCGGCCGAACUGGCUAGGUUGAAGGUGGAGAGUGAUGGGCUACUCUCCCGCUGCCAUGAUGCCAAGGACAAAGAGAAUGGCUAUCUGUCAAGGUAAAAAGCUUAAAGCAAAGUUUGAUUGACGUAACUGCUUUCGAGCAAGAGAAGAAUGAACAACUUCACGCGACUUUACAUAAAUACUGUAUGGUUUAGAAUGGGCCAAGUUGAAAAAUACUUUUUUUCUUUUUCACAAUCGAUUGUGAUUUAAUACCUGACUCAGUUUAUUUCGACUGAACCAAGAAUGAAUGGAGCUUAAAGAUCAACACCCUAAAAUAGUUGAACUAACUAUAAAGAUAAUUUAAGAGUUUUAUUAUUUAAUUUAUUAAUUUAUAAUAUUUUAUGCCAAAAUUUAGUUAAGUGGCAAAAGAAAAUAUAAUAUUUUUAAAAUUUAUUAUAUAUUUUUAAUUUUACUUAUAAAUUUUAUUUUUAUUAACAGGCAAGAGACAUUUUGUUUGAGACACUUCAUUUCUAGAUGUUGAACUCUGUAACAUCCUAAAAUAUAUAAAUUAUAUUUUAAAAGAAAAUAAAAUAAAAUCGUAUUCUUGACAUUUUUUUUUUACAAGUACAGUUAGCAACAAUAGAAAGAUGCUUCUGAUCCAUACAAAAAUAAUUAACGCCUAUUGGGGGUAGAGAGGGAGUUAUGAGGAAAACAGAUAGGAAGAAACAGAUUUAAGAAGCUAAAAACAAUCAUUUCGUAUAUUAUCAAAAUAUACCACCAAGGGUAUAUUUAUAGAAUAUAACAAUAUUGUAUAUUCAGAAAACUAAAUACAACUUAUAAAUAUCCCUAAAUAUCCAUGUAUAAGGCAAGCAUUAGAUGGGCUCACAUACAUACUUAACAUCCCUCCUUAAACUUAUGGUGGAAUUAAUUACUACCAUAAGUUUAUCUCUAAAAUGAGUAAAAACUGACUUAGAGAGCGGUUUGGUAAGCACAUCAGCUACUUGAUAUCGUGCACGAAGGUGAACCAAAGACACUUUCUUCUUUUGAACAUAGUCUCGAACAAAAUGUGUACCGACCAGGUAGUCGGGAGCGAUGACGUGGCAGCAAGCGAUAAUAUAGGCAUGUUAAGCGGAACACCUGGCUGACGAAAGGGAAGGACAUCGGGAAGUUCGUGUAGUCGCCAAUCGUUAAGUUGGCGUGCUCCGAUCUCUAGCAUAUCUAAACCGGCGGUCACCAGGCUUGUGUCGUAGUCGCCGUAUGUGAGCGUAGGCGACCAAGUGGUCAGAGAUCGCCGAGAGGGGGACAUCGCCGAAAGAUCAGGAAAGCUUGUUCAAGGCCUUCAAAGGACACGAGUAUGGCAGAUGAAGUUAUCAGAUGAUCAUCCCCUAGCCAGAGGUUGAGGCCAAGGAACAGUUUACCAGAACAUGCACGAUGAGCAAGUAAUGCAGAUCGUGAUAGCGGCAGGCGAGACCACAGAGAAGGUGUGCAUGGUGACACCCCGUGCUCGCCAUUAGAAGAGAUCGCGCUCCAAGGCAACUAUGCACCGAGUUGCUCCUCACCUGAGUAACUUAGUCGAACAGCCUGAAGAGUAGAAGUGGCGCUCAAGCAGAAGACGUUCCAGAUGGUGACACGUGUACAGCUGGAUGCGAGCCACGUGUCCAGAGGUGUAACCGUCAGGAGAGAGAAAAUGCACAGGUAUAUAAGGAACUCUUAACAGAUUCUGAGGUACGCGCGUUUAGAACACUUCUCUACGCUUUGAGAAUACUUGAGUACACUGAGAGAGUUUUUGCACGGUCCCUUGAGUUUCUAGCUUUUCUCUCUUAGAGUUUUGGUGAUUCCGUCACUGACUUGAGCGUCGGAGCGCGAUCGGCCGCAGCGGCGCCACUCUGUAUUUUGCAGGUUCUUGAGGAGAAUCGAGGUGUGAAGGACGGAAGCUAGCGUGGUGCAAAGCCGAUCCAGAGGAAGAUACCUUUGACGUGGCAAGACUCUUGCGCUCUGGUCAACCGGUAGGAUCAUCAGGCGCCCACCGUGGGGCCGUGUAAAACCUGUCCCCAUCCACAGUGUGAGUUCUUGAAGUUUCUGUGUGGUUGUGUGCUGGUGCAACCAUUUUCCACCGUUCGUUCGAGCUUUGUUCGGUGAAUUCGAGUUUCCCGCCGUUCGUUUGGGUUUUAAUCGGUAGUUUGAAGUUUUCCACCGUUCGUUCGAGCUUUCGAUCGGUUUCUUGAAGUUUCUUGCUGAUUGCGCGGUUUUCAAUCGGUUGAUUCGAUGUUUUACCGUUCGUUCGCGUUUCUAGUUGGUGAAUCGGGAGUUUUGCUGGAGGAGCGGUAGGUUCGUGGUAAGAUUGCAAGUUUCUGUGAAAGUUUCGACGUCCGAAUCUAUCGGCGUGUUGUUGUGGUUGCGUUCUUGGAAGUUCUUGGGAGUUUGAGAGUUUCUGACCGAUUGAUUGCUGGAUCGAUCGUUUGCUGGUGAAGGUCUUGUUCGCUGAAGUUUGGUUUGCUGAGUUUUCAUGAGAAAGAUGAGAAGCAACCGUUCAAGUCCCGUUGUGCCCGUUGCUGCAGAAGGCGUCAUGACCAUGGCACAGAUGAUGGAGAUCAUGCGUGCGCUGCAGGCGAAUGUGGAGGCAUCACGCAUAGAGCAAGCGAAGAUGCAUGAAGACCUGGUCGCCUCUCAGGCCAGGAAUGAAGAGCUCAACAAAGUGACUGAGGAGUUGCGUCAAGCUCUUCAGGAGCAGAGAGGACGCCCAGUUAUUGAAGAGGUCGCGCCGUCGUCGCCACCGCGCGUUUUCCCUAUGUCGUUUGCUCAGGCGAUCACAAACACGCCUAUCCAUGCGAGCGUAGUACCUGUGAAAGCUUCUUUCACUGGCGUGGAGGACCCUGAGGCACAUCUCACUACGUUCCACACACAGAUGAUGCUGUCAGGAGACUCGGAUGCUGUAUAUUGCAAGAUGUUUGUGAGCACGCUCCAGGGAACAACGCUGGAAUGGUUUGUGAGCUUGCCUACAGGUCACAUAACCAACUUUCAGCAGUUUUCGAAUCUUUUCGUCGAGCAGUACAUUGUGAACAAGGCACCACCUAGGGUGUCUUAUGACCUGUUCGACAUAAGGCAAUACCAGGGAGACUCCCUCAGGGACUAUUUGAAUCGUUUUGGAGCACAGAUGGUCCGCUCGCCUGCCAAAGACGAGGAGAUGCUGGUAUACACCUUCAAAAAGGGCGUGCUGCCGGGACCUUUCUGUGAGGUGCUGAUUAGGGCUCACCCCGCCACGUUUGCUGAAGUAAGGCGACUUGCGAUGGCCCACAUCGCCGACGAGAGUGAGGUCGCCGAGAAGAGAGGGAGCGUGGCCCCUACUAGGCCACGUGCCCAGACUAGAAUCUAGCCGCAGAGGGUGCUAGAGACGAUGGCGGCCAAGAAGGAUCAAAGGACUCGCCAUCCUUAUGAUCCAAGAAAAAACAAGGGAAGGGGCCUAGGGCGCCCCAGGGAGUACAAUUGCCCACCAAAGUACAAGUUUGUCUUGGGGUUGGCGGAUCUGAUCGCCAUUCCCAACAUAGCGGCCAGGCUUAAGGCGCCGGAGAAAGUGGGCGACAAGGUGUUAGGACCAAAACCAAACGCCUGGUGUUAGGACCAAAACCAAACGCCUGGUGUGAGUUCCACCAGAGUUUUGGUCACACAGUGGAUUCGUGUUUGGCCCUGGGAUACCAGCUCGACAAUCUGGUCAAGAGCGGGUUUAUGAACGAUUACCUGCUGGACAAGAGGACGGGAGGUGCGUCGAGCUCCCAGCCGGCGGGUGGUGAGGCUCAGCAGCAUGAGAUGCCCACCCAUGGCGAGAUCCACACCAUCGCUGGAGGUUUCUCGGGUGGUGGAUGCACUGCAUCACAAAGGAAGAAAUACGCAAGUUCUGUGAUGACGGUGGAUAUGUUCGAGGACCACUCGCCAGAUGUGGACAUCACGUUCACGAAGGAGGAUCUUCGGGACGUUGUGCCUCACGACAACGAUCCCAUAGUCAUCUCGAUUGUCACAACGGGAAGGAAGGUCCACCGGGUACUGGUGGACCAAGGAAGCUCGACGGAUGUAAUGUUCUGGCCGACUUUCACACAGCUGCAAUUACCCCUUGACCAGCUAAGACCCUAUGGAGGGUGCUUGUAUGGGUUCGCUGGCGAUCAAGUGGAGGUCAGGGGGUACAUCGAGCUAAGAACAACGUUCACGAAUGAGGUGGCCUCGAGGACGGAGAAAAUCAAGUACCUCGUUGUGAGUGCCCCCUUAGCAUAUAACAUUCUGUUGGGAAGACCAACCCUCAACAGAAUAGGAGCUGUGCCCUCAACUAGGCACAUGAAGGUUAAGUUACCAUCGAUGGAGGGGGUGGUGAUCACCAUCAGAUCUGACUAGAAGGAGGCGAAGAAAUGCUAUGAGAAUAGCCUCAAGAACAAGAGGUCAGUAAGUUACAUCACCACGACGCCGCCUCCCGGUGUGAAACCCAAGCCAACAGAAUGGCGAGUUGUUGAUGCGGCGAUGGAAGUGGCCGUCGGAGGCGAUGUCACCAUGGUGGAUGCUGAGGUUGAGGGAGAGAGCAGCAGACAGGAAGAAGAGGGGAGGAACCACCCAGAGGAAGCGAGGGAAUUGGGAAUCGCCAGGGUCGUGAUCGCCAGGGAAACCAGACCCAAACCCGUCGAGGAGUGGCUUGAAAGGGAGAUCGGGGGAAAGGUCUUCAAGCUGGGAAGAUCUUUGGAGGCUGAGCUCCAAGACCAGAUCGCCAAGGUGAUAGAACGGCAUCUGGAUGCUUUUGCAUGGUCAGCUUCAGACAUGUCGGGAAUUGACCCCGAUUUCUUGUGUCACCAUUUGGCAAUGGACACACAAGUCAGGCCAGUGCGGCAGAGAAUAAGGAAGCUUAACGAGGAGAGGAGGCAGGCGAUCAGGGAUGAAACACAGAAGCUCUUCGCCGCAGGCCAUAUCCGGGAGGUCCAGUACCCUGAGUGGUUGGCUUAUGUCGUGCUGGUGAAGAUGAGCAAUGGGAAGUGGCGCAUGUGCGUCGACUUCACUGACCUGAACAUGGCUUGCCCAAAGGAUUCGUAUCCUUUGCCAAGCAUAGAUGCCCUGGUCGACAGUGCAGCAGGGUGCAAGUUGUUGAGUUUUCUGGACACCUUCUCGGGGUAUAAUCAGAUAAAGAUGCAUCCUAUGGAUGAAGAGAAAACUGCCUUCAUGACUGAGAGGUCGUGCUACUGACAAGGUGAUGCCUUUUGGGCUGAAGAAUGCGGGGACCACGUACCAUAGAUUGAUGGAUAAGGUACUUGCAUCAAUGCUGGGAAGGAAUGUGCAAGCGUACGUAGAUGACAUGGUCGUGACCUCGUUAGAGAAGAGCAAGCACGUCUCGGAUCUGGAGGAGUUGUUCACCACGAUUGCCAAGUUCAGAUUAAAGUUAAACCCCGAGAAGUUCAUUUUCGGCGUGGAGGCAGGGAAGUUCUUGGGGUUCCUCUUAACUGAAAGAGGAAUAGAGGAAAAUCCUGAUAAGUGUGCUGCCAUAUUGGUGAUGAGGAGCCCGGUUACCGUGAAGGAGGUGCAGCAACUUACAGAUCGGAUGGCCGCCCUGUCUCGUUUCGUAUCAGCUAGCGGAGAGAAAGGCCAUCCGUACUUCCAAUGUUUAAGGCGAAACAACAAGUUUGUCUGGUCGAAGGAGUGUGAAGAAGCCUUCGUGAAGCUUAAAGAGUACUUGGCGAGCCCGCCGGUUUUGUGCAAACCCCUAGUAGGAACCCCUCUCAGGUUGUAUUUCGCUGUGACUGAGAGGGCGGUGAGUGCGGUGCUUGCCCAAGAUCAAGACCAGGCUCAGAAGCCUAUUUAUUUCGUCAGCAAGGUUUUGCAAGGCCCAGAGGUGAGGUAUCAGGCAUUGGAAAAAGCUGCACUGGCUGUAGUAUUUUCGGCGAGGAGGUUGCACCACUAUUUUCACAGUUUUACAGUGCUGGUGAUGACCGACUUGCCCAUCCAGAAAGUCCUGAAGAAGCCUGAUGUAGCUGGGAGAAUGGUGAAGUGGGCGGUGGAGCUGUCGGAGUUCGACAUCAAAUAUGAGCCCCGAGGUCCGAUCAAGGGGCAGAUUUUCGCUGAUUUUGUGGUCGAGCUCUCGUCAGAAGCAGCACGAGUUGAAGGGGAUGAUUUUCGUUGGGUGCUCUCGGUGGACGGAUCGCCAAACCAGCAGGGUAGCGGUGUUGGAGUCAUUCUAGAAGGGCCCAACGACGUGCUGAUAGAACAGUCCCUUAGGUUUUCCUUCAAAGCCAGCAACAAUCAAGCAGAGUAUGAAGCGUUGAUCGCCGGAAUCUUGCUGGCCAAGGAGAUGGGGGCUAGGGUGUUGAUGGCUAAUAGUGACUCGUUAUUAGUUACGGGACAAGUAACAGGCGAGUUCCAGGCCAAGGAUCCACAAAUGGCGGCUUACUUGGAGUAUGUGCAGGAGUUGAAGAGUUCCUUUGUCUCAUUUGAAGUGGUGCAUGUGCCCAAAGAGCAGAAUGCCCGAGCAAACUUGCUAGCCAAGCUCGCCAGUUCGGGCAAGGGGGGUAGGCAGAGGACAAUGAUCCAAGAAACUCUGAAGACGCCUAGAGCAUUUGUGGCAGACCACCUGGUUCUUCAGAUAAGCAAGUCGACGGAGAAAGCGGCGAGGAGUCACAGGUCCUUGACCCAGGAGACUUUAAGAUCGCCGAGAAUAAGAGCAUGUUGGGGGGAGAGGGUGAACAUGACGUAGGUCUGCGCUACGCAUGAGCCAGACACAUGGAUAACACAGUACCAGUGCUGCCUGGCAGAUGGCCUUCUCCCGCUGGAUCCGAUGGAGGCUAGGAAGAUAAAGAAGAACUCCAGCAAGUUCACCAUGAUAGAUGGCGAGCUGUAUAGGUUUGGGUUUACACACCCACUCCUAGAAUGUGUGCACGGAGAAAAAUGCACUAGAAUCAUGGCCGAGCUCCAUGAAGGGAUAUGUGGAAGUCACGUCGGGGGUCCAGCUCUGGCUGCAAGAACUCUCCGUGCAGGUUAUUACUGGCCAACGAUGAGGGAGGACUGCAAGAAGUAUGCACAGUGUUGCAAGCAAUGUCAGCAGCACGCCGAUUGGCACAAGGCGCCUCCAGAAGAGUUAAAGUCAAUUUACAGCCCUUGACCGUUUCAUACGUGGGGAAUUGACAUCCUGGGACUGGGACCUUUCCCAUUGGCGAUCAGGUAGAUUAAGUACUUGGUGGUGGCGAUUGAAUACUUCACCAAGUGGAUCGAAGCAGAACCAGUAGCCCAGAUCAUCGCACACAAGAUUGAGAGCUUUGUAUGGAAGAACAUCGUGUGCCGGUUUGGUGUGCCUAAGCGCCUGGUGUCAGACAAUGGGACUCAGUUUGCAAGUCACAUACUGAAAAAGCUGUGCGAAGAGGUGGGAAUUCAGCAGGUGUUUGCAUCCGUCGAGCACCCUCAGACAAAUGGCCAAGUAGAGUCCGCCAAUCGGGUGAUGCUAAAAGGCUUGAAGAGAAGGCUAGAGAAAGCCAAGGGAUCGUGGGCUGAAGAGGUGCCCUGCAUAGUUUGGGCGUACCACACCACCGAGCAGUCAGGAACCCACGAGACCCCGUUUAGCUUGGUCUAUGGAUGUGAUGCAAUGAUUCCAGUGGAAAUCCAGGAGAGCUCGCCAAGAUUUCAGAAUUUCGUGGCGGAAGACUCAAACGAAGAAAGAAGGUUGAAUCUGGAUUUGCUGGAUGAGGUCAGGGAGGAGGCAAGGGUAAAGGCUGAGGCAGUGAAAAGGAGGAUUGAGCGAAGGUACAACUCGAAGGUGAUGCCAAGGCAGUUUAGAGAGGGCGACCUGGUGAUGAGGAAGGUCCACCAGUACGAGAUGGAAAACAAGUUAUCGCCUAAGUGGACAAGACCGUUCAAAAAUAAACGAGGCGCUCGGGAACGGCGCCUACCGCUUAGAGACAUUGGAAGGAGGGGCGAUUCCUCGCACUUGGAACGCCACACACCACAAGUUAUAUUACAGUUAAAGCUUUGUAAGUAAAAACGAACAUGAAGAGAUUUGCAAGCUUUCUGUUAAAACAGUUUGAAGGGGCACUCUUUUUUUCCUAAGGAGGGUUUUUAAUGAGGCCACCCAAUAAAGAAGAAUUUUCAAAGAGCUUAAAGCUUCUAAAGAUUGCAUGCUUGUUGUUUCGAAAGUUUUAGAAAAGAGACCUUAUCACUCGUACGUGAUUCAAGGCAAGUUUAAAGUUACGCUGCAUGCUUUCUAUGAAAAAGUUUUAAAGUCCCCAUCGCUUUUUGGCGAUUGGCGGCAUCAGUUAAAGUUUUAAAGUCCUCAUCGUCUUUCGGCGAUCGGAGGCACCAGCGACGACUAAAGACCUCAGCGCUCUCGUGCGUUUGGAGGCAAGAAAAGAAAAGACCUCCUCACCCUCGAGCGAGUGAAGGCGAGAAAGAGUAAAAGACCUCCUCGCCCUCGAGCGAGUGCAGGCGAGAAAGAGAAAAAGUCCUCAGUGCAUCCAGGGGGAGGAGAUGUACAACCUGGGCAAGUUGAGGCACCAGAUAAAGUCCUUCUCGCCGUUGAGCGAGUUCAGGCAAGAGAAAGUCCUUCUCGCCGUCGAGUGAGUUCAGGCAAGAUAAAGUCCUUCUCGCCGUCGAGCGAGUUCAAGCCAGAUAAAGUCCUUCUCGCCGUCGAGCGAGUUCAGGCAAGAGAAAGUCCUUCUCGCCGUCGAGCGAGUUCAAGCCAGAUAAAGUCCUUCUCGCCGUUGAGCGAGUUCAGGCAAGAUAAAUUCCUUCUCGCUGUCGAGCGAGUUCAGGCGAGAAAAAGUCCUUCUCACCUCAGAGUGAGUUUAGGCAAGAUGAACUGAAAAGUCAGGGGUGUUCGUGACCUUAAACGGCGGGAAGGGAAGGAAAACGCCUUUCCCCUUUUAAGUGAAACAUCAAUAUUGACUUAGUAAGACCAGAGAAAACUUCCACGCCUGUAGGCGGUGGGAGGGCAGAUAAAAUCCUUCUCGUCCUGAACGAGUUCAGGUAUGGCGUGAAGGGUGAAAGAGGUUUAAGAGAUAGCUAAGGUAAGUUCAAAGAGAACACCUCGUUAUCCAGUUCUUUGUUCUGAAACUCAGGGAAGUAGAGAAGGAUCCGAAAGGCGCCUCUACCCCCAGAUGAGGGAACAAUAGUCGAGCGAUGAAGGCAAAGAAAGCCUACAUCGCCAAAACCCUACGGCAAUCAGAAGAAUACUAGGCGAUGACGAGCGUAAAGGCUAGCCUUGCCGGACAGAUCAGGUAAACUGUAUUGUGAUGCAAGUUUAAGUUAAAACCUGCUGCCUAGUAAGUAACUUAUUGCCUUAAGUUUGCAAGUUACGUUAAAUGUCAUCGUUUGAAAGUUGAUAGUUGCUCAGAUUUUACUUUGAGUUAACAGUUCGAUAAAUUGUUAUGAGAUUAACAGUUUGCUCGAGUUCAAAGCAGUGAACAGUUAAGCCUGAAGAAUCGCUAAGUCAAUUUGUUUAAGCGAGUUCUACUGGUUAUGUUGGUUAAUCACACAGCGAGUAAGAAGCGUUUGAGGCACGGUAUUAGACAACAAAUAUCUUAAGCAGAAGGAGUUAUAUAAAGCAAUGUCAGUUCAAAUACAUAAAAAGAAAAAUUACAUGUAAAGUUCGUACAAGCAGAAAUAAGCGCCAAGUUUCAAAAAACAAGUGAUAGAGGGAGGUGAUUAAUCUUCAGAGGGCACGAUCUUCCCAUCCACCACUUCGUUGCAGAUUGACACCAUGGAGAGAUCGAGCUCGGGAUAUUGACACGAGACUUGCUCCAAAGCGGCGUCGAACCCGGCGGAAAGGACUUGGGCGGAGCUUUGCUCGAGCUCUUGAGCCUGCUUCUUCAGCUCGUCAGUUUGCUUCUUCAGUCCUUCGUUUUCUUCACGAGCUCGAGCAAGCUCUUCAGCAGCUUUCUUGUUUUCCUCCCGAGCCUGGGCCAACUUUGCAGCAAUCCUCGCGUUUUCCUCUUGACCUUUGCCGAGCUCAGCUUUGGUGUCGUCCCUCUCCUUCUCGACUUUCCCGAGGAGCACCUCCCGAUCUGCUGACCUCUUUUCAAGGUUCUCCACCUUGGCCGCAUCUGCUUUCAUUGCAGCCUCCAAGUUGGCCACCUUGAGCCUAUAAGGCACAAACUUACUCUCCAGCUCGAUUUUCUCUUGAAUUUGGAGGUGCAGUUUUUGGCGCAGAUCGGAGACCUCCUUGUGCGCCUCUUAGUUCAGCAUCCAUGGCGUCCUCCAGCCUUUUGGUGACGAGGCCGUCCUCAGUCGCCUCGUCAUCCUCUUCUUCCUGUACCACUUGAGGAGUUUUCCUCUUUGGCUUCCUCAAGACAAGUGUUUUUCUUUGGGGGGCGGGUAGUGUCUCCGAAGGAGUUAGACCUUGGGAAGGAGUUAUGCCCUGAGCAACGACGAUCUCCACCACCGAGUUAGGCACGGUUUGGGAACCUGUCGCCAACUUGUGAGAUCGGGCGAUCACCCUCAGUUCAGCUAGUUUACCUUUGUCCAACAUGAAGUCUGCACAGGGUAGAAAAUAGAUGAGUAAGCACAAAAGCAAAAGCAAGAUAUACAAGUAUAUGCACGCAGGAAUAACGCAAGCAAGUGGCACAUGGAUUCAAAAUCAAGACCAAUGCAGAACAAGCAGAACGCCGAAGGAUGGAAUGGUAGGAACGUUGAGUUAGUUCCAACACAAAACAAGAGUCUUGGUGCUGGAGAAAGGGCUAACCUAUGUGAGCUUCAAGUUGGCCCUCGAAGAACUCGAAGGAGAUGAUUGAGGCGGUAGGGAAAGUGAUGUUGGCAGCUGCUACGCUCUUCCAGAAAAGGCAGAGAUCUUUGUCUAGCUCGCCCAUGUUGUCAGGACUCCUUGGCCUCCUGAAGCAUUCCUUGGAGUCUUUGUUCCCCUUGUGUACCCAGUACAAGGGGAAACCGUCGAGCAGUGAGGGAUCUUGCUCGUUUGGGCGCACCUUGAUGAACUUUCCUUUCAAGUCUUUGUAAGAUUGUUGGAAGAUCGAGAGGAUUGACCUCCCAGCAAUCCCGUUUAAGCUAAUCCAGAGGCGGUCUCCUUGGCGGGGUUACCUGAGCGAGGUUGGCGUGAGAAGUUGCAGGCCUCUCAGCCUGGGUAGAAGGAGCACCAGAUGCUCGUGGUGGGUUACGCGCUGGUGGAGGAUUUGCCCCAGGAGCAACCCUACGUGCUUGGGGUGGAGGGUUUCGCGACGAAGAAGGAGGGUUCGCGGUGGAUUUUGUGUGAGUCAUCGCAGGAACUGCAAAGGAAAAUGAAAGGGAUGAAACAAAGCCAACAGAACGACUCGAUUGAGAACAAAGAAGACAGAGCGAACGAACAAGAGUUCGUUGGGAUGAACGUAACGAAGAACGAAGCCCUAAGCUACGAGAGAAGGAGAAAGGGAAAAACAGCCCACAACGUAUGCUUCAGACAGAUAAUGGAUGAUGCGAAUCGGUUAAAAUGCAGCAAAUAUCAACCGAAGAAGUAAAAGGGGUACCUUUUGAUGAUCGGAUGAGCGUUGAAGAGAGUUGGAGAUUGAGAGAGUUGAGAAGCUUCGUGGGUUCGCAGAGAAAAACUUAGAGCGUUCGAGAAUGCAGAAAGAUGAUGGAACAGUGGAAGUGCAAGGGGUUUAAGGGUUUUUCGAACGUUUUCGGAAGCGCAAACGACAACUGAAGAUGACUGUUGAUGGAGCCACGUGUCAAGCGAUUGGAAAAAGGGGUUUGGUGGAGCGUCGGAAAAGCUGAGGGUACGGACAUUUGGAAUUCCGUGCCAGCGCCACGUAGAUCGACGGUGAUGUGACCUCUUAGUCUUUUCGCUGGACAAGUCUUCGCUUAAGACUGGGGGCCUUGUGUACCCACCAGGUAGUCGGGAGUGAUGACGUGGCAGUAAGCGAUAAUAUAGGCGUGUUGAGCGGAACACCUGGCUGACGGAAGGGAAGGACAUCGGGAAGUUCGUGUAGUCGCCAAUCGUUAAGUUGGCGUGCUCCGAUCUCUAGCAUAUCUAAACCGGCGGUCACCAGGCUUAUGUCGUAGUCGCCGUAUGUGAGCGUAGGCGACCAAGUGGUCAGAGGUCGCCGAGAGGGGGACAUCGCCGAAAGAUCAGGAAAGCUUGUUCAAGGCUUUCAAGGGACACGAGUACGACGGAGAUUUGAAGCCAGGGAACAGUUUACCAGAACAUGCACGAUCAGCAAGUAAUGCAGAUCGUGAUAGCGGCAGGCGAGACCACAGAGAAGGUGUGCAUUGUGACACCCCGUGCUCGCCAUUAGAAGAGAUCGCGCUCCAAGGCAGCUAUGCACCGAGUUGCUCCUCACCUAAGUAACUUAGUCGAACAGCCUGAAGAGUAGAAGUGGCGCUCAAGCAGAAGACGUUCCAGAUGGUGACACGUGUACAGCUGGAUGCGAGCCACGUGUCCAGAGGUGUAACCGUCAGGAGAGAGAAAAUGCACGGGUAUAUAAGGAACUCUUAACAGAUUCUGAGGUACGCGCGUUUAGAACACUUCUCUACGCUUUGAGAAUACUUGAGUACGCUGAGAGAGUUUUUGCACGGUUCCUUGAGUUUCUAGCUUUUCUCUCUUAGAGUUUUGGUGAUUCUGUCACUGACUUGAGCGUCGGAGCGCGAUUGGCCGCAGCGGCGCCACUCUGUCUUUUGCAGGUUCUUGAGGAGAAUCGAGGUGUGAAGGACGGAAGCUAGCGUGGUGCAAAGCCGAUCCAGAGGAAGAUACCUUUGACGUGGCAAGACUCUUGCGCUCUGGUCAACCGGCAGGAUCAAAAUGCAUAUCCAGUUGAAAGUAUUUGGUCCUGGAGUGCAUAAUUGGGUUAGCACUUAAGAGAACAACUCCCAAAUUAUCAGAAAAAAAUUUAGGUAAAGAAGGGUGAAUGUGUAGCUCAUUGAGUAAAGAUAGAAGCCAUAUAAUAUCUACUAAAAUUCCCGCAAUGCUUUUAUACUUAGCUUUUGUACUGCUUUGUUACACAACUUUUUUUUAUGAGAACUCCAUGAUAUAAUGUUUGAACCAAGAAAAAACGCUUAUCCUGUCGUUGAUUUUCUAUCAUCCAGAUCUGUGCCCCAAUCAGCAUUAGCAAAACCAAGGAUGGAGGACUGAGAACUGCGUUUGAUAAGAAGGCCAUGAUUGGUGGUACUAGCAAAGUAGCGAAGAAUUCUUUUGACUGCUUUCCAAUGAUGAUCUUGUGGGUUAUGCAUGAACUGGCAUGCUUUUUUCACUACAUCAGAUAAAUCAGGUCGAGUGAUGAGAAUAUAUUGUAAAGCUCCUACCACAGAUCGAUAUAAAGUAGCAUCUAAAACAGCAGUGGAGCCAUCCUGUUGAAGGCGAAUAGUAGACAACAUAGGGGUUGGUUGAGCUUUUGCAGUGGCCAUAUCACUACAUCGCAAAAGAUCGUUGAUAUAUUUAGGUUGAGAAAGGUGAAGACUUCCAUCAAUAACCUUUGAAACUUCAAUGCCAAGAAAGUAAUGUUGUGGACCGAGAUCCUUAAGAGCAAAUCUGGAACUUAAAUGAGAAAGAAGAGAUUUAAUGGCAUGCGUAGAUGAUCCAGUGAUGAUUAUAUCAUCCACAUAAAUGAGCACAAAUAACGUAGAAGUAUUAGUAAACUGAAUAAACAGAGAAGUAUCACUUUUUGUAGAAUGAAAACCAAGAUCUUUAAGAGUACAACUUAGCUUAGUAAACCAGGGUCGUGGUGACUGUUUUAAACCAUAUAUAGCUUUAUGUAACUUACAAACAAGAGUAGAAUUAGAGGAUUCAAAACCUGGAGGUUGAUUCAUGUAGACAUCUUCUGUGAGAUCUUUAUUAAAAAAUGCAUUAUUAACAUCAAUUUGAUGUAUAGGCCAAUUGUUAGAAACAACAUGAGAUAACACAACUCUAAUGGUAAUAGGUUUGAUAACAGGGCUAAAAGUUUCAUUAUAGUCCAAACCUAGAGAUUGGAUGAAGUCUUUUGCCACUAACCGUGCUAUAUGUCGUUGAAAUGUACCAUCUGCAUUGAACUUGUUUUUGAAAAUCCAUUUGCAACCCACAACUUUAACACCAGAGGGCAGAUAAGUGAGACUCCAUGUUCUAUUUUGAAGAAGAGCUCGAUAUUCAUCUUGUAUAGCUUGUAACUAAGAUGAGGAUGAUAAGGCAGCUUUAAGAGAGACUAGUUCGUGAGCAUAAAAGACAGUAGUUGUAUAAAUCUUAGGUUUAAACACUCCAGCUUUGAAUCGAGUUAUCAUAGGAUGAGCAUUGUCGAUUAUAGGAGGAUCAGUGGAAACCUCAUUAAUAACAGAAGAAGGAAAAAAAGUUUAUGAGGAUAUAAAUGGUGUAGUGUGUCAGUUUCUUGAAGCAGAUAUGUUUGGUUACUUGAUGUUUCACAUAGCAAUCGUUAGGAAAAAAAUUCAAAGUAGACAUUAUUAUCUUUGGCAAACUGAGAUACACUAAGUAAAUUUUUUGUGAUGUGAGGAACAUGAAGAAGAUUUCGUAAGAUAACAGCUGUAUUAGUGUGUGAUGAAGUAUAUUUCGCAGUACCAAUAUGUGGAAUACGCAUACAUGUACCAUUACUAAUUCGAACUUGAUCAGCACCUUGAUAGGAGGAUUUAUUGAUAAAGACUUCUGAAUCAUUUGUGAUAUGAUGGGAUGCCCCACUAUCAGGGUACCACAGACGAUCAGUUAUGGUGGAUGGUGCUCCAAGAAUGGAGGAUUGUUCAUCUAGGUGAGAAGGAAAUUGAGACAUGUUAGCAGUUAAGGAAUUUUGUUUAGACUGAUCAUACCUUUGCCAACAAUGAAGCGCUGUAUGACCAAUUUUGCCACAAAUCUGGCACGAAUGUUUAACGGUGUGCCAAGGCAUAUUGAAAUUUGAAGCAUUGUCGUUGGGAAUACGAGCUUUGGUAAAGCGAUUGGAGCGGGAAUAACCAUGGUUUCUUGAAGGCAUACGUCCACCACGAGAAGAAUUAGGGUUAAACCGAGAACGAGAAUUUGUAGGGUUUGUAAUAGUGACAUUUCCUGAAACAGCAUUGGCUUGGAGAAGAGACGGUUGAAUUUUGUGCUUUUCAAAAUGCUCUUCUUGAGCAAGGAGCAAGGCUUCAAGGUCAUCAACACUAUAUGGAUCUGUGCGUGAUAAAAUUGAUGUAAUGAAACCAUCAUACUCAUCGGAGAGGCCAUCAAGAAUCGCUUCGAUGUGUUCCUCGGUGGAGAUAUCAGCACCGACCGCUGCCAAAUUAUCUACAGUUUUCUUAAUAUCCAGAAGAUAAGUGGAUACAAACUUAUCAUUUUUGGGGGUUUUAAGAAUAAGCUUCAAUUUCUUGAUUGUUGCCCUGGUACGAGAUGCGUAUGAAGUGCAAAGGCGUUUCCAAAUGUCAGUGGAUUUCUCGAGACCAACCAUCUUCGUGAGAACUGUGGACGUCAUCGACGCAAGGAGGCAGGCAACAAUAAGGUGAUCUUGCUGGGUAUAGUGAAGAUAGUCAUCGUUAGGUUUGAAAAGUUGACCACGGUAGGUAUCGAUCAGGGACACCACUGGCGUCAAGAAAAUGUUCAAGAUUAAGACCCUAAUUGUAGCCAGAACUUGCUGCUUCCAAAGAAGAAAGUUGUCAUUAUCUAGUUUUAGACUGAUGGGAAUAAUGAGCUGAUGUGGGAGAAGAGACCCCAUGGGAAAGGAGGAAGAUGAAGAAUUGGUGGUGGAAGAUGUAGAAGAAGAAGAAGUAGUAGCGGAAGACAUGGCUGAAGAAAAAAAAUUCAACUCUGGAUACCAUAUGAGGAAAACAGAGAGGAAGAAACAGAUUUCAGAAGCUAAAAACAAUAAUUCUGUAUAUUAUCAAAAUAUAUCACCAAGGGUAUAUUUAUAGAAUACAACAAUACUGUAUAUUCAGAAAACUAAAUUCAACUUAUAAAUAUCCCUAAAUACCCCUGUAUAAGGCAAGCAUUAGAUGGGUUCACAUACAUACUUAAUAGGAGCAAAGAAAAUUUAUGAUAACUACAAGAAAUCGAGCCAGCGGAUUAGAAGAAGCAAUGGAAAAUGUGCAUGUAGCCUUAUUCACGGCUUUUCAAAACAAAGUGGUUGACGGAGGAGUGAGGAGAAAAUCCAUGUCGUCCAGAACGAGAACGAGGAUUUGAGAAGAAGAUUAACCGAAAGGUUGCCAGCACCCCAAAGCAACAAAAUCAAUCAGGAGAAAACUUCCAAAACCAUGCCCACCUUGUCCUUGUCUACAACGACCCGACCAAUGAAAACCGCCAGUCAAAACGGUGAGUCCAAGCCCUAUGUCUCGAUAUAUACGUUUAGGAUAGUCGUUGGAGCGUGCUGACACCCUUUUAUUGAUGAAAUCAUGGAAGUCCUCUCGAUUUGGAAAGGGCUGAGGAUGGACAAAUACGACAAAAUGACCGAUUUCGACGAGCACAUUGACAUAUAUGUUAUGCACAUAAGCCUGUACACCGCAAACAACACAGUGAUGUGUAAAGUCUUCCCUACCUCCUUCAACCAUACAAUCGAAGAGUGUCAAACACUAAAGUACAAGAUUGAAAAGGUAAUCCAAGCUAGACAUUUGAAAAUAUUUGUUAAGACCGAAGAGUAUCGAUACAGGACACAAUCCCCUCUAAGGGAAGAAAGAUAAUUGGUGCAUCAAUAGUCACUACCAUGAUAAUGACCGAAGUAACGACGACCAAUCAAGGGUAGCAGAAAGACCAAGGAUGAAAGAGCCUCUGGACGCACCUUUGAGAGAUGUAAUAAACACUAUAUAUAGUGGGAGGAUUAACGGAUAGGGAGUCUCGGCAUCAGCUCGAAAAUGACACCUCCGAGUGGUGCAAUCUGUAAACCAAGUGACAACGUCCCCCCGAAGAAGGCCUCCCAUUAUGUUCACCGAUGUCGAUUUCAAUGGAUUUUACCCACUGUAGGAUGAUCUCAUGGUCAUUACAGUUGAAAUAAAACAAUUCACAAUUAUGAAAACACUUGUGGACCAAGGGAGCUCGGUGGAAAUCUUGUACUGAAAAACGUUUAAGAAGUUGUAGAUAUCUGAGGCCGACAUCUGACCAUACGAUAAGCAAAUCGUGGGGUUCUCGGGUGAAAGGGUAGAUACCAAAGGGUAUAUCGACUUGUUGAUGACUUUUUACGGCAAGUGCACCACGUUGUCAGAAGUAAUAAUUUGUCCCCCUAAGGACGAAUAUCGAUCCCACAAGGAACAAUUGACUAUUCAAGUACAAUAUUCGCUAAAUAUAAAACAAAAAAAAUAAAAAGUUGGUUUGAAGUUUGUUAUAAUGGCAAUAAUUAAAAAGAAAACAAAUCAAAAAGUAAUUGCUUUAAUUGGAAAAAUAGGGAUUGGAUUUCACCUGUCUCAUUCUUAUGUAUUUUGAUUAGCAUGUUAACAUUAUGUUCUUUGAUUGAAAUUGUUGCCCGUAUUAAAGUCAUUUAUAUCGAUUCCUCGCAUAUAAAAUUCUUAAGAAUGUUCCCUAAAUAUCGAUCUCUUGCAUAUUUAUAAGAACAACUUAGGAUCAUGCUCAGACCUUUAUAACAAUUAACAUUUCAAGUCUAUUUCUAACACUCAAAUAUGUUAAAUAUUGUUGUUUAGGUCAAGACCCUAAAAAUACUUCCCAAUUAGAUUUAAGAUCCUUAAACAUAUCACAAAUAUUUAAAAGCAAAACAACAAUACCAAUAAUCAAUCAAGAACAAAAUAUUAUAUCAUAGUUAAAUAUCACCUUAAUACAUAAGAGUUUGAACAGACUACUCCAAAUCCCAAAGGGUAAAAUUAGCCACGCAUACUUCUAGCACCUUCCAUUCUUCCAAUUGGUUACAAUUCACUCAACGAUGUUUUCCUCUCAACCUGGCACACUAGGGUUGUGCCUAUAACCCCCUAUUUAACCUAAUUCGCUAGGGUUAGGUGACUUCCUGCGUUGCGCUUUGGGCUUGUUCAUAAAAACAUAAAAUUAGCCCAAUUAAUCUAACGCAUUUUCGCUACUGAGUUGAACUUUUUUUCUCUCUUUUAUGCAUUUUGGGCCUUCUAGCUUUCUCCUUUUAUCAUAUAUAAUUUUUCUUUAGUCAAAUCUCCAUUCUUCCCUAGAAACUUGUAAUUAACAACAAAUUUGGAAAUAAAAUGUUCUUAUUCAAUUAAAGAUCAUAAAAAAUGUAAAAAGGUAUAAAUUCAUAAAUUAGGGAUUAUUUUAUAUGUAAAUUAGCAAUUAAUACUCAUAAGUGUCUAUAUUUUAAUAUGAAAUAUUACGGAAAUUAGACACUUAUCACCUGUACACCAUGUUUGGGGAGGGAACCCUAAUUUAUCGAACCAUUAAAAUUUGGUAUCUCAUUGUUGACGCCGACACUUCUUACAAUAUUAUGUUGGGUGGACCCUUUCUAUAUUAGCUCGACGCAAUAGUUUCUAUCCCCACCUGACAAUGAAGUUUUCAUCGACAUCAGAAGAUAUCCUGAUAGUCCAUGUCGACCAAAAGACAGAAAGGGAAUGUUAUGCCGCUAGCCUACGGGUGCGGGUUCCGAUGAGAACUGAAAACCAACAACCAAGCACGAGCAUGAUUGCCACGAUAGAUCUCAAUCUGAGAACGAAGGAUGAAAUACGAAUGCAACCAGACAAUGAAACCACAAUUGUAGAAAUAAGAAGCGAAGGCAUCACGAUGCAAAUAGGCACCUCCUUAGCAACCGUCAAUGGCGAAGUGUUGACCAAAGCUCUCGUCGAUAAUGCCGAACUUUUUACAUGGACAACAGCCCAAAUGUUUGGGACCUGAAUGUUUUCUCUCACAAACUCUUGAUACAAAAAGAUGUUUGUCCCGUGGCACAAAAGAAAAGGAAGCUUGGGGAUGAAAAGAGGGAGGCGGCAAAACAAGAGGUUGACAAACUGUUGAAGGUCAAUUUUAUCACCAAAGCCAAAUAUAGAACUUGGUUGCCAAAUUUGGUUCUGGUCAAGAAGUUGAGUGGGAAGUGGAGAAUAUGCACGAACUACACGAACCUCAAUAAGACUUGUCUAAAGUAUACAUAUCCUCUGUUAAACAUUGAUCGAAUCGUAUAUAGAGCAGCUAAACACAAAAUCCUAAGUUUUCUUGACGCAUACUCCUGUUAUAACCAAAUUCGGAUGCAUCCUAGAGAUUAGGAAAAUACCACUUUCGUGAUGGACAGGGCAAACUUCUUUUAUGAAGUCAUGCCUUUUAGGUUGAAAAAUGUCAGAGCCACACAUCAAAGGUUAAUGGGGCGGAACAUUGAAGUAUGAAGUCUGAAUCCUGCUAAGAACACGUCCAAGAUUUGAAGGAAGUGUUUGAUGCCCUCAAAAGUUAUAACUUAAGGCUUAAUACAAAAAAGUGUACACUCAGCGUUGAAGAAGGAAAAUUCUUAGGUUUCAUGUUGACCCACAAGGAAAUUGAGGCCAACCCUAACAAGUGUAGGGAAAUAGCCGACAUGUGUAGUCUCGCCAACAUGAAAGAAAUCCAAAGACUUAUGGGUAGACUCACUUCACUCUCCCGCUUCAUACCCAAACUAGCCAAGAAGACUCGACCAAUUAUCUUCUUGAUGAAGAAAAAAUCCAAGUUUGACUGGACUGACGUGUGUGAAUUUGUUUUUCUAAAAUCAAAACUACAAUUUAAUCCCACCGGUAAUCCAAAAGCCGAAGGCGGAACACCCUAUCAAGAUAUACCUAGCCGCUUCAGAGGAAACAAUAAGCUCAACCUUACUGCAAUAAGUAAAUAAGGAGAAGAGACCAAUUUACUUCGUAAGUCAGACGUUUCUAGGUGUGGGAACUAGGUACCAAAUGAUUGAAAAAGUGGCCUUCACCAUUGUAACCACGUCGAGGCGGCUAAGACCGUAUUUUCAAAAUCACAGAGUUUUUGUGAAAACAGACUACCCCGUAAGCAAGGUCAUAUGUAAACCAGAUCUCGCGAGAAGAAUGAUCGGAUGGUCGAUCGAGCUAUCCGAGUUCGACAUUAAGUUCGAACCUCAGGGCCUAAUAAAGUCUCAAUGCCUGGUUGACUUUGCAAUAAAAACCGAGCCUAAAGAAACGUGGCGUGCACUAUGGCGAACCAAAUUUCAAGUUCAGUAAAAUGGAAACCUCAUAAUAUUGUUUUUGUCAAAAGAUAACGAUUGACCGAACAUUUCUUUACACUUUUUAAAAAAUCAGCAUUUAAAGUUUUUAUAGGAAGAGCUAAAAGGGGCAAACAAAAAGGAGUGUGGAGUGUCAACUAACGAUAACCACCCCACUGAAAAAGUCGGAUGCACUAAAGUAGUGAAGAAAAAACUAGGGGGUAGGAGACAGCCGCAACAUGUCGCAAAUGAAGCGAGAGGCUUAGUCGCCCACGACUUCAGAUGGAGCUACAUGGGGGUGACGUUCAGCAUAUGAAGAACAUCCAUGGUGAAGUCAUCAAGGGAAAAGUAGAUAUGAAGGUUGGUAAUGAAGCAUGUAUACACAUAGAAGAAGUCGGACUCGACUCUCUCUCGACCAUGACACACAUUGUCAAUUGCAUAACAUCGGUUGGUUGAGAUAAUGUCGACUUCCACAUCCAAACUCAACAUAGGGGACUUCAAAAUGAAGGAUCUAAUCAAAGAGGACCACCUAUAUCGAGAGAAAUGCUCAGUCAGCUUAUUAUCUACCCACUCAUAUCCCGUGCGCAAGGGUAGGUUGUUUUCACCUUGAUCCAUAGCUAAUUGUUUGGCCGAGUCAGGGGCAUCCCCCCGACAUGAACCUCUCUUGGAUUCCAUCUCUCAUGUACUACUUCCUUUGACAACUGAAUGGUUACAAAUCGAAUGGUUACAAUGAAUGUUGAACAAAUCCAUAAGAGUUACAAAUCCCGCCAAGAGGACAAAUCUUCUAGAAACAAUGUGGCUCUACAACAAAAGCUUUAAGAGCGAGGGGGCUAGUGUGCCAUCAAUACCAAUGGCCGAAUGCCACUACCAGGUGUCAUGGCUGAAUGACCACCCAAUUGAAAGACCGAACCCAUGCGAAUGAUAUGACCGAGUCUGUUUUUAGUAAACCAACAACUAAUAUUUUAUACAACGCAAUUAGCCACAUCAAAAAUACAAAAUCUUAUUUUAACACCGAGAUUAACUUUGUGGUCUAUCCUAAUACAAGUCCAAAAUCAAGGAACAAUUAGAACCUUAUAAAUAUGCACUAAAUUAAAAAAACAAAGAUAGACAUAAUUAAACAUUAUUUAUUACUUUUAUCAACUCUAUGCAGAUAGAUUCUAAGUUAACAGAUUUGAGUACCUUUUACAAAUAUUAGUCACCAACUAUCCAAGAUCGAAUACACUACAAAAGAGGACGACGUGACAUGAGUAGUUAGCACCAAUAGAAGCACCCCCUUCCGAUCCAAACAAAAUCACCCCUUCCUUACAAUCCAAACAAAGUCAAAUAAUAAUUUAUGUAAUCCAAAAGAUUACGUAAAGUAAAUUAAUAAACAAUUAUAAGAAAGAACUGACAGCAUCAUCACACCUGUACUUUUGGUAGUUGAUAUAAAAAAUUAUGUAUUAUAUAUUCAAAUAAAUAUAAAAAUACCCAUUGCUUUCACAUGGGAAGGCUUUGACUUUUAAGUAUGGGUAAAAACUAAAUCCACUCCAACUAUAUGAAGUGCCUGUGCAAUAGCCCUUCUCACCUCGUCCCAGUGUUACUGAAAAAUGGAGGUAUCAUCGUCAUCUUCUUCCUCAACAGCAAUACUAUGUGUGGUGACUGUCAUCAUAGCUGUGGGUUCCGUAUUGGCACUGAAGACGCUGAACUCUCUGUGGCUUAGGCCUAAGAGGUUCGAGAAGCUUCUAAGAGCACAAGGUCUUCAUGGAGAUCCCUACUCCCUUUCACCCCCCUCCUCCAACCAAGACCACCCUCCACAAAACAUGCAUCCUUCUCGAUCUUUUGUUCUCUCCGAUGAUGUUGCUCCUCGCGUCUUCUUGCCGGCUUACAACACUGUCGCCAAAUACGGUUCACUUUUCUUUUUAUUUUUCAUUGAUUAUGUAAUUCAAUUUUAAAAGUUGUUUGAAUCGAGGGUUCACUGGUAAAAGAAAAAUGAAUUAUUUGCAGGCAAGAAUUCGUUCUUAUGGGAAGGCACUACACCAAAGGUCAUCAUUACUGAUCCAAAUCACACCAAAGAAGUCUUCAAUAACAUUCAUGAUUUCCAGAAACAGAAGAUAAGUAACAGUGGCAAGUUCUUCUUCUGUGGUCUGAUAAGUUACGAGGGUGAUAAGUGGGCUCAACAUCGAAAGAUUAUCAACCCUGCAUUCAACUUAGAAAAAUUGAAAGUAAGCUUAUUAAUUUAAUUUAUCAAUAAAUAAUAUUUUUAUAGUAUUAUCUAAUUAUAAAUCGAGUUUCUUUCCUGGAAUGGUGCAUUCUCCUUGUUAAUUUCUCAGAUAAAAAAUAAAUUUAUUCUUAUAAUAGUUAAAUAGUGCAACUAAAGCACGAAAUCAAACAACAAAAUUGAAUAGAAAUGAUUGAAAAUGACUUUCCUAUAAUGUGUUUUACAAAGAAAUAGUCCAUGCCCAACUGUAUUUUUUUUCAAUUUUUAUUUAUUUAUUUUUAUUGUCUUUAAAAUUGAUUAGCUAAUUGAAUUGUGAAAAUUUUAACAAAUUUGAUAAAAAUUUUGGUUUAUAAAAUUUUGAAAAAUAUUAUUGGUUUUUUAAUUGAAAAUUUAAUGAAAAAAUAGUGUUAAAAUCUUAAACCAAACAUCGUAAAAGAUAAAUCAUAACUAAAAACGUCACAACUAAAUCCUAACUCGGAAAUCCUAAAUUAAAAGGUAAAAAAGUAGACCUUAAUCGUAAAACAUAAAUCGUAAAAUGUAUAGCUAAAUCCUAACCCGUAUCCUAACUUUAAAGUGUAAACCAUAAAUAUAAAACAUAAUACCUUGAACCGUAAGUGUAAACUCCAACCGUAAAAUUAUUUAAGACAUCAUGAAAUAAGUUCUUUUAACUUUUAAAUUAUGUAAUAAAAAUAACAUAGAAAUUUUGUAAUUUUGAUUACAUAUUGUCGAAUUAUGGAGUAUUAUUUUAUUCAGUUGUAAAAAAAGUUACGCUUUAAGUUUACGGAUUAGGAUUUUAGGGUUAAUGAUUUGGGAUUUACAUUUUUUUGACGAUUUAUGAUUUAGGAUUUAUGAUUUAGGUUUUUAGGUGUGAUGUUUUUUUAUGAUUUAUCUAUAUGGUUUAAGGUUUAAACACUUUUUUUUAAUUAAAUUUUCAAUUAAAAAACCACUAUGUUCAAAUUUUAUCAAAUUUGUUAAAACUUGCAUGACUUCAAUUAUCACGAAUUUUCUAGGAAGUAAUCUUCUACAUGUACGAAUUCAAUGUGUAAUCAAAAUCAUCUUCAAGGUGGAUUAUUUCUAUGCAAAACAUCAUUAUAGAAAAAUUGUUUUCAUGGUACAUGACUUCUUCACUAAUUUUUUUUUAUCUAGAAAUCAUGUAAGUCCAACACCACUUCUGUUGUUUGAUUUCGUGCACCUGAAACAUGAUUUACCUAUUAUGAAAUAAUGUUUUUUCUCCAUAUUAGGAAUAAACAAACUAGACAUUUUUAGAAAAAAAAAACCCUAUAAAUUGACAAAUACAAAAAGUUUGUAUUUUUUAUAUAAAAAUGAUACUAGCUAUGAUUUCUCACUGGUUAAAUUGAUGUAUAUUAUUUAAUUUGUGUUUAACAAUGAAAUAAACCACCUUUUUCUAAAAUCUCAACGUGGAUUGAUACUUAAUUGACAGAAUAUGCUACCAGCAUUCUUCCAAAGUUGCAAUGAUGUAAUUAGCGUGUGGAUGGGAAUGUUGUCAUCCGAUGGAAAAUGUGAGAUUGACGUUUCGCCUUUCCUUCAAAAGCUGACUUGUGAUGUAAUUUCCAGAACAGCUUUUGGAAGCAGCUAUGCAGAAGGAGAAAAAAUAUUUCAACUUUUUAGAAUUCAGGGGCGCCUUAUCAUGACUGCAAAGUACACUAACAAACCAAUAUUGAGGUAAGACCACACUUAUUCUUGGUAUAAUGUGAUUACUAAAUUAAGCAUUUUUAGUUUUAUUGAAAUUGAACUCACAAUGAAUUUCAUAAGAACCUCAGAGAAUCACCCUAAUAGCUAGUCAUUGUAAAUAGAGAUUAAGCUCUCCAUAACAACAAAUCACUGCUAUAAUGAUGACAAAUAACUAUGAAUUACAUACAUAUUUUGAUUUAAGGUAUAUUUGAUAUCAGUUUUCAAAAAAUCUUUGAAAUUCAAGCAAUGUGGUAUACCUAAUGACUAAUACAAGAACUAGAGUUAUUGCUAUCGAAAUUCAACGUGUUAAGAAAUUGACUUAUCGUGGUUUAAUUAAGAAUAAUUAUAAGUCUUAUAAACUAGUCAUUUACUUCAUAAUUGUUAUGCAUGUUUUUAGGCAUAUACCAACACUUGCCAAAAUGAAGAUGAGAGCAGCUGAUAAAGAAAUAAAAAGUUCACUUCGGGUUAUGAUAGAAAAACGAGAGAAAGCCAUGAAGAAUGGUGAAUCCUGCAAUGAAGAUUUAUUAGGCAUACUCGUGGAAUCAAAUCAAAUGGAAAUUCAAGGAAAUGGAAACAAUAACAGUGUUGGAAUUACGAUUGAAGAAGUAAUUACUGAAUGUAAGUUAUUCUACAUAGCAGGGCAAGAGACCACUUCAUCUCUGCUGGUUUGGACAUUUGAUCAUGUUGAGUAAAUAUCCUGAAUGGCAAGUACGAGCAAGGGAGGAAGUUCUUCAUGUUUUUGGAAAAAACAAUCCAAACUUUGAUGGGUUAAGUCUACUUAAAACUGUAUGUAUCACAUGCUUUCAUUUGAUUAUCUUUAUUAUCUAUUAAAAAUACAUUUUCAAGAUAACUUGUGCACAAAUGUUUCUUCCGUAGAUGACCAUGAUUCUGUACGAGGUUCUGAGGUUAUACCCUCCCAACCUUUACUUCAAUCGCACUCUUAAGAAGGACAUGGAACUUGGAAAUCUGUCACUACCCGCAGGAGUAGAUAUCACCAUGCCAAUACUUUUAGUUCACCAGGAUGGUGAUAUCUGGGGUAAUGAUGCAAAGGAGUUCAAACCAGAAAGGUUUUCUGAGGGAGUUGCUAAGGCAACAAAAGGCCAAGUCUCCUUUUACCUAUUUGGACGGGGUCCUAGAAUUUGCAUUGGCCAAAACUUUACUAUGUUGGAAGCCAAGAUAGUUUUGUCAUUACUUCUGCAGAAUUUCUCGUUCGAGCUUUCUCCUGUUUAUGUACAUGCUCCUGCACUUAUGCUUACUUUGCAGCCCAAACAGGGGGCGCCCCUUAUUGUGCAAAAGCUAUGAUAAUUAAUCAUAUUUUGACCCAGAAGGUCAUGGUUUUUAGGUUGAUUGAAACUAUGUAUCUUUUAAGAACUUGUUUGUAAUGCAUGUGUUUGAAUUGCGUCACGUGGUUUAGUUAUAAAGUAUUAUAGGUUGAUGCA